AUUGAACGCUGGCGGCAGGCUUAACUCAUGCAAGUCGAGCGGGGUGAUGGUGCUUGCACUAUCACUUAGCGGCGGACGGGUGAGUAAUGCUUAGGAAUCUGCCUAUUAGUGGGGGACAACAUUUCGAAAGGAAUGCUAAUACCGCAUACGUCCUACGGGAGAAAGCAGGGGAUCUUCGGACCUUGCGCUAAUAGAUGAGCCUAAGUCGGAUUAGCUAGUUGGUGGGGUAAAGGCCUACCAAGGCGACGAUCUGUAGCGGGUCUGAGAGGAUGAUCCGCCACACUGGGACUGAGACACGGCCCAGACUCCUACGGGAGGCAGCAGUGGGGAAUAUUGGACAAUGGGCGGAAGCCUGAUCCAGCCAUGCCGCGUGUGUGAAGAAGGCCUUAUGGUUGUAAAGCACUUUAAGCGAGGAGGAGGCUACUUUAGUUAAUACCUAGAGAUAGUGGACGUUACUCGCAGAAUAAGCACCGGCUAACUCUGUGCCAGCCGCCGCAGUAAUAC
rnacentral:rRNA from 1 species